rnacentral:rRNA from 1 species
CCUACGGGAGACAGCAGUAGGGAAUCUUUCACAAUGGGCGAAAGCCUGAUGGAGCAACGCCGCGUGCAGGAUGAAGGCCUUCUGGUUGUAAACUGCUUUUAUAAGCGAGAAAUAUGAUGGUAACUUAUGAAUAAGGAUCGUCUAACUACGUGCCAGCAGCCGCGGUCAUACGUAGGAUCCGAGCAUUAUCCGGAGUGACUGGGUGUAAAGAGUUGCGUAGGUGGCAUAGUAAGUAGCUAGUGAAAUCUGGUGGCUCAACCAUUCAGACUAUUAGCUAAACUGCUAAGCUCGAGACCGUUAGGGGUAACUGGAAUUUCUAGUGUAGGAGUGAAAUCCGUAGAUAUUAGAAGGAACACCGAUAGCGUAGGCAGGUUACUGGGACGGUUCUGACACGAAGGCACGAAAGCGUAGGGAGCAAACGGGAUUAGAUACCCCAGUAGUC